rnacentral:lncRNA from 1 species
UCUGUUCUCAGGGAACUUUAAGAAGAGAUGAGAUGAAUACACAUAGCUAUGAUAGAAAGUGUGAUAUACACAUGUAAGUGGCCAGAGAGUUCUAAACAAGAGCUAUGGAGAUUCUAAACUGUGAUGACAUAGAACAUGUUCAAACCCCACCAGUAACUAGCAACUUACACUGAGUCUCUCAGUUCCUACAUCUUUAAAAUGGGGAUGGCCAUAUACUAAACUAUAGGGUUACUGAGAACAUUACAUGAGUCAAUGAAUGUGUGCUGAUGUUCAAAGAUGUGGGGGAAGAGAUUCUCUAGAAGCAAGGAGCAGCACAAACAAAGCAAAGGGAAUGUGCAUCUGAGAAAAUAAGUGGUCUAAUCCAUCCCAACUCCAAGCCUGUAUGGUGGUAUGGGGUGGAUAGAGAUGAUGUCCCACAAAGCAGAAGUACAGAACGGGAGUGAAACGAGACCCAACAACAGAGAGGAAAGAUUAACAGGAAGUCCUUGCUUAGGUUGGUAAGAAGCAUCAAGCUUUCAAGACUAAUGAUUUAUCUGCAUUCAAGUAAGUUAAUAUAAUUAGCCAAAAAUAAAUGAAUAUAUAUUACAUUUAAAACAAGAUAAGGUUGUUAAAAAGAUGUACAAUUUUAAAACAUAACAGAGAUGAUGCAAACUGACCACAGUAUUUUGAAGUAUAUGAUUUUAAAAAUGUAUUUCUAACAUGUAAAAAUAACAUUUUAAUCAAUUUUCUAUUAAUAUGAAUGAGAUGGAAGUUCAUUUUAAUUUUUAUUUAAAAAACAAAAAAAUCAAUGCAACAAUGUAAAUCAUUUGCCAAUUAUUUAAAAUGAAGCUACGGUAAAAAUAUCACUUUUAGAGAAAGAAGACCUAAAUUUCAAUACCAGUUCUGCCACAUACUACUUUAAUUAUUUCUAAAAUAUUACAUAUAUUUCUAAUCCCUCCUCUUUCCACCGACAUAUGACAAUAAAAGAAUAUAAAUAGGAGCCACCAAAUUCAGGAUCAAGAAAAAAGAAAACACUUGUGACAACUGUUGGAAUUAACACAGUUAUAUUAAUUCAAAUGUGUCACAUUUGACUCUGAGCUUCCUGGCAGUCAGGGCAAAAAGGGAAACACCACGUUUAAUAUAGUAAUUAUUAGAAUUCCUUAAUUCUCCACACUGUGCUGUAAGUUUGUGUACACACAUGCUUGUUUAUACACAUGCUAUUAGCAUGUGUAUAUAUAUCUUACUUGAUCAUCCCAGCAACUUUAUUGAGAAGGCAAUAUUGGUACCCCCAUUAUAUCACAUAAAAAAACCUAAGGCUCCAAGUACUUUAUAUAGUCAAAAGAAGUUAAAUUAAGUUCCUGAGAUUAUUGAAUAUUAAAUGGAUAGAACACAUAUCUCCUUACUCUUAGUCUAGCCCUCUUUAUUCUACCUCAUAUUGCCUUGAGUUCUUAACCCUAAAAUAUAAAUUUCUCACAUAGAAUUUGAGUAAUAGAAGGUGCCCUCAAUGUUUUUUACAGCAGAUACAAAAAUGAAUUUCACAUAGCUAUUUCUUAUAGGAAUUGUUUAUCAACCUAAGCAUAAAAUCAAAAUGUAACUAGAUAAAGCUGUAGAUAAAAUAAGGUAGUUUUGAGUAUCAGAUGUGAUAAUGCAUGUGGAAACCUCAUUAACUGUAAAGUAUCAUACAAAGGAACAAUAUCUUCUGAUGAAGAGAAAUCAUUUAGGACUUCUACUUGUCUUUUUUUAACUACAUUUUCUUGAUGGUUUCUAUUCAGAUCUAAAGUACACCACACUUUUCUUACAAAUAUGUAUUUGCAGUUGUCUAAGUAGAAUUCUUUAAUGGAAGCUGAAAUGUAAAAGCUAAAAACUAAUUUUUGAAACCUUUCCUUGCAUUCCAGAACAAGUUCAAUUAUUGAAGCAGAACAACCCAGUAUUCAAAUCUAAAAGUCUGACAGGUUUUGUACUGUGGUUUGAAACUUAACUAUGUGAAAUAACUUGAUGGCAAUUAAAAUGAUUUAUUCUGUC